UGGGGAAUAUUGCACAAUGGGCGCAAGCCUGAUGCAGCCAUGCCGCGUGUAUGAAGAAGGCCUUCGGGUUGUAAAGUACUUUCAGCGGGGAGGAAGGUGUUGUGGUUAAUAACCACAGCAAUUGACGUUACCCGCAGAAGAAGCACCGGCUAACUCCGUGCCAGCAGCCGCGGUAAUACGGAGGGUGCAAGUGUUAAUCGGAAUUACUGGGCGUAAAGCGCACGCAGGCGGUCUGUCAAGUCGGAUGUGAAAUCCCCGGGCUCAACCUGGGAACUGCAUCCGAAACUGGCAGGCUUGAGUCUUGUAGAGGGGGGUAGAAUUCCAGGUGUAGCGGUGAAAUGCGUAGAGAUCUGGAGGAAUACCGGUGGCGAAGGCGGCCCCCUGGACAAAGACUGACGCUCAGGUGCGAAAGCGUGGGGAGCAAACA
rnacentral:rRNA from 1 species